GACGAACGCUGGCGGCGUGCUUAACACAUGCAAGUCGAACGGAAAGGCCCUGCCUUUGUGGGGUGCUCGAGUGGCGAACGGGUGAGUAACACGUGAGUAACCUGCCCUUGACUUUGGGAUAACUUCAGGAAACUGGGGCUAAUACCGGAUAGGAGCUCCUGCUGCAUGGUGGGGGUUGGAAAGUUUCGGCGGUUGGGGUUGGACUCGCGGCUUAUCCGCUUGUUGGUGGGGUAGUGGCUUACCAAGGCUGUGACGGGUAGCCGGCCUGAGAGGGUGACCGGCCACAUUGGGACUGAGAUACGGCCCAGACUCCUACGGGGGGCAGCAGUGGGGAAUAUUGCACAAUGGGCGGAAGUGUGAUGCAGCAACGCCGCGUGCGUGAUGACGGCCUGCGGGUUGUAAACCGCUUUCGCCUGUGACGAAGCGUGAGUGACGGUAAUGGGUAAAGAAGCACCGGCUAACUACGUG
rnacentral:rRNA from 1 species